CUAUGCAUCGAGUCUUUGAACGCAAGUUGCGCCCGAAGCCAUUAGGUUGAGGGCACGCCUGCCUGGGCGUCUCAC
rnacentral:rRNA from 1 species